CUGCGUCAAGAGUAUAAGAGCUCAGCUCAGAGAGGACAUUUGCUGAGAAACCAGAGUUGGGCUACAAGACAUUGUAGGCUACCAAGAGUUGAAAUGGGUCUUCCAGCCUUGGGUUUGAUACCGUUUUUGGGGCCCCUUGCGUUUCCAGUAGCAUUGGGAACAGUCGCAGUAGGGGGCUUUAUAUGGAUUAAGGCGAUUCAUAAGAAACCUUCAUAUCAUCCAGGAAGUCCCAUAAUUACACAUUCCGUGAAGGUAAAGUCAAAUAAAGAUUCUGGAAAUGAACCCACUGGAAAUGCUGCCAGCAAGAAUACAGAAGGACAGCAGAGCAACAAUGAAACUACCAUCAUAAUUGCUUACGGCCUUGGAGUGGUUGACACUUAUAAAAAUGUUAAAAAAGGUAGACCAUCUCAGUUUGGUCCGGGUAACUUUCGCAUGGCAGAGGCAGACCAUAUUCCACCAUUGGCUUCUCUGAGGAUAGCCCGAAACCAUGAACGACUGGAUCGUCUCCGACAAGUGAAUCCAAGGCUUCAUGAGAUGAUCAUGAGCCUUGAUUAUGACCCAACUGGACAGAACCUGUUAACCAUGAGGGUUCUUUACCAGGAUCACAGAGAUGCGCUGACUACUGGAAACAGCAGGGAAUCUCAAGUAUCCAGUCAUCUGCUGGCAGAGACAAUCGUAGACGGAGAUGCUGCACUUAUGCUGAGGAAGGCUUUUAUCAUGGGUCAUCCUAUAUCUUCCUGGCAGCUCAGAGAAGACGCAGGAUUGGCCGCACCAUAUACCGAGGGUAACAUUGACAUGUCUGAUGAAGGAACAAGGCACUACUACAGAUAUGGCUACAUUGAGCUGGUCGAAGCAUACCACAGGAAGGGGAUAAUCAACCAGAAUCAAGCAAAAGAGCUCAUUUCAUGGGUGGAAAGAGAGAUGCACCUGGACCGGGAUACCCAAGAGUAUAAGGAGAUCCUUGAUUACAUUAAACGUCAUGUUUGUGUUUUCCGGUGGUAGAAAUGGCAAACAAACUCAGACAACACAGUAAAUACAGAUUGUGUAAUCUAACAUGCUGACCAGACCGGACGCGUCGCAAAAUACAUUUAGAAAUACAUUUAUGUACGAUAGCGCACCUGCAUAGAUGUUUGGGUCCGUGUAACGGGAGUUCCCAAGUUAAAAACGUUUCUAUGAUAUGCAAAUUAUGGAAUUCAGUAUAGUUGGAUUCUAGUUUGAAAUAUACUAAUUCACGUUGCCAUUCUAGAACUCAUUGAUUAAUUUGCAUGUAUAAGGAAUGCAUAUGCUGGGGUCAAGGAAGGGUAGAUAGGGACUUGUGGAAAGUUACAGUGUAGAAAGUUCAUAUUCUGCUCCAUGUUUCUAAGGAGGGAGUCGAAGGGCAAUAGUUAGUCUCUGAUAAGGCAGGCCAGCUGAGGAACUAGGGAGGGGCGAGGAAUGCAUCUCGAGGUCAAGUCAACAAAUGAAGUGAUAAGAAACCUCUGGGAGGCAGGCCAGAGAGACCCACCACAACGACUCUCCUACUUAUGAGGAUUCUGUGUUAUGCACUAUAGCCUGUUACCAUAUAUGUGAUUGAAUAUUAUCUGCUGUUGGCUUGUGUGCAUGUAUGUAGGUGUUAUGCAACAUAGCUGACUUGAAACAUUGUUAACAGUUUCAGGGCCAUGGGACUUUCUCAUGAUGGAAAAAUACAGAAUAACAUAAAAACGGACACAUACAGAACGUAGUGUAGCAAACCACAGACUGUUUUUGUUAGAACUCAAACUUAACAAUAACAGAAACCAGAUAUGUGAUAAUGGUAUCUAGGGAAUGAGCACAUAGAUACUCGACACAGCAAGUUACAUCUAUCAACUGGAGCGCCCGGGGGCUGGUACCAGCUCGUACGACAACAAUCAACGAUAGGCUGGGUGAGUUUAAACCACGCCCAGUCUCUACUCUGACAGGCCGGCUCGGAAGCUGGAACUACUACUGUCAUCAGGGUAUAUUAUAAUAUCUUUGUCAGGAACAAGUCAGUUCUCUGUUUGCCCUGCGAGGUGGGACAGAGAGCUCGUAUAUACGAAAAUUGCAUUUACCAUUUAUUGCUUAGCUACUAAAAAAUACAUAGUAUACAAUCGGUGACUCAUUGUCAUAUUUAUCCUGAUACCAGAUUUGAAUUGACACAACUCUAACAUACUGCCGUCCUAUUUCACACAUAUACUUCCAUGCAUGAAGGUUUUAGUAUCAGGCAGUGCUAUAACUACACCAGUGAGAGGAACCAAUUAUGUUUCUGCCUAGCAACAGCGAUGUAUUGGCUGUCUAGAUGUGUAAGGACAUGAUCCCACAUAUUAGAAGGUAAUAAAUAUAUCUGCUUGUGUAAUCAUGCCUUGUCUUUGCAGCUGUAUGACCCAGUGGGUGAAUAAACUUGGUUUGAGCUUUG